GUGUCAGCCGCCGCGGUAAGACGAAGGUGGCAAGCGUUGUUCGGAUUCACUGGGCAUAAAGGGCGCGUAGGCGGUUCCGAAAGUGGCGUGUGAAAUCCCCCGGCUCAACCGGGGAAGUGCACGCCAAACUUCGGUUCUAGAGGACGGUAGGGGGGACUGGAACUCUCGGUGGAGCGGUGAAAUGCGUAGAUAUCGAGAGGAACACCGGCGGCGAAGGCGAGUCCCUGGUCCGUUUCUGACGCUGAGGCGCGAAAGCGUGGGUAGCAAACAGGAUUAGAAACCCGCGUAGUCC
rnacentral:rRNA from 1 species